rnacentral:rRNA from 1 species
ACAAACAGUGGGAGCCUCGCAAGGGGUGACUGCGUACCUUUUGUAUAAUGGGUCAGCGACUUACGUUCAGUUGCGAGCUUAACCGAAUAGGGGAGGCGUAGCGAAAGCGAGUCUGAACAGGGCGUUCAGUAGCUGGGCGUAGACCCGAAACCGGAUGAUCUAUCCAUGGCCAGGUUGAAGGUGCGGUAACACGCACUGGAGGACCGAACCCACUAGUGUUGCAAAACUAGGGGAUGAGCUGUGGAUAGGGGUGAAAGGCUAAACAAAUCCGGAGAUAGCUGGUUCUCCUCGAAAACUAUUUAGGUAGUGCCUCGUGUAUCACUCUCGGGGGUAGAGCACUGUAAUGGUUGGGGGGUCAGUCUAGACCUACCCCGCCAUAGCAAACUCCGAAUACCGAGAAGUGCGAGCACGGGAGACAGACGGUGGGUGCUAACGUCCAUCGUCAAGAGGGAAACAACCCAGACCCACAGCUAAGGUCCCAAAUGAUGUGCUGAGUGGAAAACGAAGU